rnacentral:rRNA from 1 species
GACGAACGCUGGCGGCGCGCCUAACACAUGCAAGUCAACUUGACGGAAGGAGCAAUCUGACCGUAGAGUGGCGCAAGGGUGCGUAACGCGUAAGUAACUUGCCCCAAGGUAAGGAAUAACGUCGAGAAAUCGGCGCUAAUACCUCAUAAUGCAGCGGAUCCGCAUGGAUAUGUUGUUAAAAGGUUUACCGCCUUGGGAUAGGCUUGCGUCUGAUUAGCUAGUUGGUGUGGUAACGGCACACCAAGGCUACGAUCAGUAACUGGUCUGGAGAGGAUGACUCGAGUCACACGUAGGAACUGA